rnacentral:rRNA from 1 species
ACAACAGGGGAAUCCCCUAGUAGCGGCGAGCGAAGCGGGAAGAGCUCAAAUUUAUAAUCUGGCACCUUCGGUGUCCGAGUUGUAAUCUCUAGAAGUGUUUUCCGCGUUGGACCGCACACAAGUCUGUUGGAAUACAGCGGCAUAGUGGUGAAACCCCCGUAUAUGGUGCGGACGCCCAGCGCUUUGUGAUACACUUUCAAUGAGUCGAGUUGUUUGGGAAUGCAGCUCAAAUUGGGUGGUAAAUUCCAUCUAAAGCUAAAUAUUGGCGAGAGACCGAUAGCGAACAAGUACCGUGAGGGAAAGAUGAAAAGCACUUUGGAAAGAGAGUUAACAGUACGUGAAAUUGUUGGAAGGGAAACGCUUGAAGUCAGACUUGCUUGCCGGAGCUUGCUUCGGUUUGCAGGCCAGCAUCAGUUUUCCGGGGUGGAUAAUGACGGUUUGAAGGUAGCAGUCUCGGCUGUGUUAUAGCUUUCCGUUGGAUACAUCCUGGGGGACUGAGGAACGCAGCGUGCUUUUUGCGAAAGACUCGUCUUUUUCACGCUUAGGAUGCUGGUGGAAUGGCUUUAAACGACCCGUCUGAAAACCGGGGAACAAAAAAAAGUUGAUUUAAGAAAAAGAGAAAAGGAGGGGAGGGAAAAAAAGGAGAAGGCAAACCGGGCGGACCCCGGCCCACGCCGGCCCCCCCCUCC